AGAGUUUGAUCAUGGCUCAGAUUGAACGCUGGCGGAAUGCUUUACACAUGCAAGUCGAACGGCAGCACGGGUGCUUGCACCUGGUGGCGAGUGGCGAACGGGUGAGUAAUAUAUCGGAACGUAUCCUGUAAUGGGGGAUAGCUCGGCGAAAGCCGGAUUAAUACCGCAUACGCCCUGAGGGGGAAAGCGGGGGAUCGAAAGACCUCGCGUUAUAGGAGCGGCCGAUAUCUGAUUAGCUAGUUGGUGGGGUAAGGGCCCACCAAGGCGACGAUCAGUAGCUGGUCUGAGAGGACGACCAGCCACACUGGAACUGAGACACGGUCCAGACUCCUACGGGAGGCAGCAGUGGGGAAUUUUGGACAAUGGGGGCAACCCUGAUCCAGCCAUUCCGCGUGAGUGAAGAAGGCCUUCGGGUUGUAAAGCUCUUUCGCAAGGGAAGAAAACUUACAUUCUAAUAAAGUGUGAGGCUGACGGUACCUUGAUAAGAAGCACCGGCUAACUACGUGCCAGCAGCCGCGGUAAUACGUAGGGUGCGAGCGUUAAUCGGAAUUACUGGGCGUAAAGCGUGCGCAGGCGGUUCUGCAAGUCAGAUGUGAAAUCCCCGGGCUCAACCUGGGAACUGCGUUUGAAACUACAGAGCUAGAGUAUGGGAGAGGGAGGUAGAAUUCCACGUGUAGCAGUGAAAUGCGUAGAGAUGUGGAGGAAUACCAAUGGCGAAGGCAGCCUCCUGGCCUAAUACUGACGCUCAUGCACGAAAGCGUGGGGAGCAAACAGGAUUAGAUACCCUGAUAGUCCACGCCCUAAACGAUGUCUACUAGUUGUUGGUGGAGUAAAAUCCAUUAGUAACGCAGCUAACGCGUGAAGUAGACCGCCUGGGGAGUACGGUCGCAAGAUUAAAACUCAAAGGAAUUGACGG
rnacentral:rRNA from 1 species